GUCCUUUCUCAGCCUUUUAGCUAAAAUCAAGUGUAGUGUCCAUUCUUGUUUAGUUUAUGCCACAGACAUCUUCAAUAUGAGGACAUGAUGUUAAAUGAGUGUGGGAAGUGGGAGGUGAACUUGGAGCUUGCUCUGUGCCUUGACCUACCAAUGCAGUGCCCCAGGGAAUAGGAGUGGGUGACGGGA
rnacentral:snRNA from 1 species